AGGCAAGAAACCUAAUCGUACUAUGGUUUCGGCCCAUAACUAGGCAUAGAAUUUUGCCCUUGCCUU
rnacentral:tRNA from 1 species